rnacentral:lncRNA from 1 species
CAAUCAAGGGGCAAGACCUUGAGGGUGGCCAAUGGCAGAGAGUGGUCGAACACCAAUCAGGGCCCAGAAGGGUCCCACAAAGAGCCUGCUGUUGAGGACAGGACUGCUCCUGUGACUCAGAAGCCACACUGCGGGGCAAUGACUCAGCACCCCAGUGCAGAGCUGGGCUGGCCCAGAGCCCCAGAGCUGCUUCCAAAACAGGGGUACCAUGCCAGCCCAGCUGGGUGUGAGUCAGCCCAGAGGAAUGCCCCCUCCCGCCCGCCUGUACCCACUGCCUUCGACUCACGAGGCUGGCAUCCCGGGGCAGCAUGUGAUCGACCUGUCCAAACGCCAGAGUAAACAGGCGGAACAGGAGCCCAGCUUCCCGGCCACAGGCCAGCCAGGAGUGUGACGACAGAUACCUCUUGGGGAAGAAGACACCCGUGCCCUGGGACGGGGCCCUGGGAAUUUCCGCAGGAUCCUACCUUGAUCUGACUGAAAAUCAGUCUCUCCACCUCUGGGAACACCUUGUUCAGAAAGGCAGCCGCCUCUGCCUCAUCCUCAGAGACUCAAAGGAUUCAAGCCUAGGAGGAGCCCAGGAGAUUUUCCACCCAUGGCUUUACCUCCGCUCCGUCCACAAACCGCCCAGACCCCCGCUACAGAGACCCCGAGAAGGUCUAAGGAAGGGAACAGAAAACAGCCUGGCUGCCUCACUGGCCCGGCUCUGCCAGACUGAACCCCUCCAGGGUCCCCGGGUCUCAGCCGUUUAUCUGCCGCCUGCUCUCCGACGGCCCCCCUUCCCUCGUCCCUGACAACCUCAUAAAUGAUCACAUAUGCUUUCUGCUGAGCCAGGACAUGCUCUCAGCAGCCACCCAACCAAUCAGGGUUGGCCCAGGGAGUGAGACCGUUUGCCAUCCCUUUCCCGGCAACUCAGACUCUCCAUGGGGGGGAGAGGGGGGGCAGAGGGGGGAGCUGGCAUCUGACCUCCAGCUGUGUCUCCAACCCCACCUCCACACACUGGGCUAGGACUUCACUUCAUGUGUCCAGCGACAUCCCAGAAGUCCUUUCCAGGCCCGCGUGGCACCACUUGCACCUACAGGCUGUGCCACGUCUGGGAUUCCACCAGGUACCAGCCGUGGGCACCUGGGCACAUCUGCAACCUCUCCGAUCCUCAGGCCUUUUGUCUGAAAGACAGGAACAACUCGUAGGCUACUGAGAGAAUCAAAUGAGGCCACGAAGGUUUUCCACUUACUUUUAUGUUUUGUUUUGUUUUGUUUUUUUUAAGGAAUCUCUGUGCCUGAUGUGGGGGCUGAGCUCACGACUCUGAGAUCAGGAGUAGCAUGUUCUACCAACUGAGCCUGCCAGGUGCCCCACCACUUACUUUUCAACAAAUUUUUAGAAGUUUUAGAUUUUAGGGGCGCCUGGGUGGCUCAGUCAGUUAAGCGUCCGACUUCGGCUCAGGUCACAAUCUCGAGGUCUGUGAGUUUGAGCCCCACAUCGGGCUCUGGGCUGAUGGCUCAGACCCUGGAGCCUGCUUCCAAUUCUGUGUCUCCCUCUCUCUCUGCCCCUCCCCCAUUCAUGCUCUGUCUCUCUCUGUCUCAAAAAUAAUAAAAUAAACAUUAAAAAAAUUAAAAAAAAAAAG